rnacentral:rRNA from 1 species
GACGUAGGGCGCGAGCGUGUCCGGAUUUAUUGGGCGUAAAGGGCUCGUAGGCGGCGUGUCGCGUCGGGGAGUGAAAGCCCCGCUGCUUAACGGCGGGUUGGCUUCCGGUACGGGCAUCGCUGGAGUGCGGCAGGGGGAGACUGGAAUUCCUGGUGUAGCGGUGGAAUGCGCAGAUAUCAGGAGGAACACCGGUGGCGAAGGCGGGUCUCUGGG